CCUACGGGCGGCAGCAGUGGGGAAUAUUGGACAAUGGGGGGAACCCUGAUCCAGCGACGCCGCGUGAGUGAAGAAGUAUUUCGGUAUGUAAAGCUCUAGCAGCAGGGAAGAAAGAAAUGACGGUACCUGACUAAGAAGCCUCGGCUAACUACGUGCCAGCAGCCGCGGUAAUACGUAGGGGGCAAGCGUUAUCCGGAUUUACUGGGUUUAAAGGGAGCGUAGACGGCGAUGCAAGUCUGAAGUGAAAGGCGGGGGCCCCACCCCCUGACUGCUUUGGAAACUGUAUGGCUGGAGUGCAGGGGAGGUAAGUGGAAUUCCUAGUGUAGCGGUGAAAUGCGUAGAUAUUAGGAGGACCACCAGUGGCGAAGGCGGCUUACUGGACUGUAACUGACGUUGAGGCUCGAAAGCGUGGGGAGCAAACAGGAUUAGAUACCCUUGUAGUC
rnacentral:rRNA from 1 species